GAGCGGGUCAAAUAUGGCGGAAGGCGGCGACGCAGAGCCGGGCGAGCGCGACAGGUCCUCUGGGCCCCGGCCUCCGAGCGCGCGUGACUUGCAGAAUUUAGUAAGAAUGUGAAGAAAUUGCAAAGAAACCUGAAAACAACAAGUGAUGACAUGUGAAGAAAUAGAUUGGCCUUGGCAGAAUUGUGUGAGGAUGAAGUGAAAUGCAAGUCUUCCAAAUCUGAUAGACCUAAAGCUUCAGUCUUUAAAAGCCCACGAACACCACCUCAACGGUUCUAUUCAAGUGAGCAUGAAUACAGUGGGUUACAUAUAGCUCGACCUUCAACUGGGAAAAUUGUGAAUGAACUUUUCAAAGAGGCAAGGGAACAUGGGGCUGUCCCUCUGAAUGAAGCCACAAGAGCUUCAGGUGAUGACAAAUCUAAGUCUUUUACAGGUGGAGGGUACAGGUUGGGGAAUUCCUUUUGUGAGCAGUCUGAGUACAUCUAUGAAGAAAGCCAGCUGCAAGAUGUUCAGGUUUUGCUUAAAUUGUGGAGCAAUGGGUUCAGUUUAGAUGAUGGAGAAUUGAGACCUUACAAUGACCCAACAAAUGCUCAAUUUCUGGAGUCUGUUAAAAGAGGGGUGACUCUCAUUGCAUGUAUGCCUGAAAUUCAGCAGCUUAUAUUAGAAAUCUUUUAAAGUGGCAUUACUCCUCGCAGAAGAUUUCAAAAGAGAAAUUCCUCCAGAGCUUCAGCGACUGGUUCAUGGUGGCCAAGUGAACUUGGACAUGGAGGACCAUCAGGAUCAAGAAUACAUCAAACCCAGAUGGAGGUUCAAGGCUUUUAGUGGAGAAGGACAAAAACUUGGAAGUCUUACACCUGAAAUUGUCAGUACACCUUCGUCACCAGAAGAGGAGGAUAAGUCAAUACUUAAUGCAGUUGUUCUUAUUGAUGAUUCAGUGCCAACAACAAAGAUUCAAAUCAGGCUGGUAGAUGGGAGUCGUUUGAUACAAAGAUUCAAUAGUACACACAGGAUCCUGGAUGUUCGGGACUUCAUUGUACAGUCCCGCCCUGAAUUCGCAACUCUUGACUUUAUUCUUGUGACUUCAUUUCCAAACAAAGAGCUAACAGAUGAAAGCCUGACGCUACAAGAAGCAGAUAUUCUUAACACUGUGCUACUCCAGCAACUAAAAUAAUACUGCUGCUCCUAUUUGCGCAGUAACAUAGAAGAGAGAUAAUGUGCCAUAUUUAAUAAGGAAAACUUUCUUAUAAAAAUACCAAAUUGUUUUUAUUAUUUAUACAGAUACUUUUUGGUUUUACUCUUAUUCUGUCCUCCAACCUUAGCGUAGAUGAAUUUGUACUGGGAAAAGAUCUCAAGAUAAAUGUGUUUGAGUUUUUAGUGGUAGGGCCGGCUUAUAUUCAUAGAUUUUAAAUAUCCAGUCAAACUAAUUUGUUACAUGCUCAGUGUUAAUGUAACAACAUUUCUUGGCAGCGAAAAUGAACAAAACUCCAUUUUGAUAAAUUGAGUGAAAUUUGCACUAAGUUUCUUCAUGCUGCAUUGAUCAAGAGCCAUUAAGGAAUCUUCUGAUCAAAUAUUUUGAAAACUUUUCUGUAAUAUAUACUAAAGAGUAUCUGUAUUCUGAUUUUUGAAAUGCUUUGAUGAUACGAUGAUUAUUUCUCCUAUUAAGAUAUUAUGCAUCCUUUUUACUGAUUGAUUUAACUAUAUUACUGUAUCAAGAAAAUACAGUUUGGCCUUGUAUUUUACAGAACUAUGAACAUUCUAACCUAGAAACACAUAACAGUGAGCAGUCUUGAGAUGUGGCCAAUAGCACUUUAACACAGAGAAAUUACAGUCCCUCUCAGAGCCUGCCUGAUCACAUGCAUUUACUUGUUCAACACGUGUUUCUGGGGCAGGGGUCCCCAACCCUCACACUGCAGACCAGGCCCAGACCAUGGUCUGCUAGGAACCAGGCCCCACAGUGGGAGGUGAGAGGCAGGCAAACGAGUGAAGCUUUGUCGUGUUACCACCUGAGCUUUUCACCUCCUGUCCCAGCCCGCCCCCACCCCCCACCCCAUCUUCCACAAGCCUAGUCCCUGGUGCCAAAACGGUUGGAGUCCGCUGUUUUAGGGGACCCACUGUAGAUAUCAAACACUAUUUGAAGUGUCAAAACCAGAAUGUAUUCUUCUCCAGAACAAAACAAGUGUAGAAAUAUAGGAAUGCCAAUUCUGUCAGGCUUAGAUCCAAUUCUAGAUCUGAAGAACGGCCAGCAGGAAUGUUUGCAUUUCUGUUGAAGCCAGGCACUUCCUGAAUGAGGCAGGCUAUGUCAGGAAUGAUAGAAAAGCUUUGUUUUCUUCCCAGACACCAGUUCAUCUUAGAUCACCACUCCUGAUUAGUUUUGUAUUGCUGCUGUUAACAGGUGACUACAAACUUGGUGGCCCAUAACAGCAAAGACUCAUUGUCUUCCAAUUCUUCAGGUUAAACCAGCCUCACUGGGCUAAUAUUAAGGUGCUGACAGGACUGCGUUUCUUUCUGGAGACUCUGGGAGAAGCAUUUCCUGGCCUUUUCAGCUUCUAGAGGCCACUUGUGUUCCUUGGCCUGUGGUCCUCUGUGGCCCUCUGUUCCUGUCUUCAGAGCCAGCAACAAUGUAUCUUUCUGACUUUUCUCUGUCAUUAUAUUUCUCUGACAAUAGCCAUGAAAGGUUCUCUGCUUUCAAGGACUCAUGUGAUUAGAUUGGGUCCACUAGGUCAUCCAGGAUGAUUUUCCCAUCACAAGGUCUGUAGGAACCUUAACCACAUCUUUAAAUUCUCUUUUACCAUGAAAAGUAACAUAGCACAGCUUCCUUCUGGAGGCUGCAGGGGUGAAGCUGCCCUUUGCCUCUUCCAGCUUGUAGAGGCUGCUGGUGUCCCUCACUGAAGUGUGUAUCCCUGCCCCUCCCGUGUGCUUCUGUUCUUCCUCUUUUAACUACCGGCUUUAGUUCUGCUUUUCUCUUUUAAGGAUCUUUGUGAUUACAUUUAGUUUAUGUGGAUAAUCCAGGAUAAUCUCAUUUCAAAAUGCUUAAUAUAAUGACAUCUGCAAAACUCACAGGUUUGGAGAUUAGAACAUGAGUAUUUUAGAGGCCGGGGCUAGGGGCACACUAUUCACCACAGUUUACUCCGGCCUCAAAAAUUCACAUCCAUCCCAAAAAUUCAUCCCAAGCAGAGGUGCUCAAAAAUCUCAGACCAUUACAGCAUCAGUUUCAAAUGCAGUAUCUUAUCUGAAUCUCACUGAAAAAUCCCAAAUCUCAUUUAAAUCAUCUAAAUCGGGUAUGAGUGAGGACCUGUGUAUGACUCCUGAAACACAGUUCCCCUCCACCUGCGAACCUAGAACCAGCGAUUUUCUCCCAAAUAUGAAGAUAGGGCAGGCACAGGAUAACAGUUACAGAUAUUCCUGUUCAAAAAGUCAGAAAACGGAAUGAAAAAAGGACGCACCAGUGCCAAGUGACACAGCAAUUUAGUUAGGCACACUCUGUUGGGCCUCAGCCUGGAACUGGGGUUCUGUGGCAACCAGCACCAUCCUCUGGGCUUAAGGCUUCCUCUCAGAGUCCUUGAGUUUUUCGUGAAAGGUAGCACAUGUUUGUAGCCUAAUAGUUUCAUCAACUUGUUUCUUGUCUGGAAAUCUGGGAGGUCCAGUCACCUUCCAUUUCAUACACCCUGUACCUUUUAGUGUAGGAGGGCACUGUCUGCUGGUACAACAUUAUCAAAACACUGGGGGGUCUUCUGUGUGUGUUACAGGAUUCGCUGAGGUCUGGAGGCUCCUCCAUGUGCUUUUCUAAAAUAAGGAACUCCAUCUCUGAUUUGGUUCUGAGAUGGCCGAGAGGAUCUGUAAGUCAUACUCCUAAUCUCUUCAAAGAGCCUUUUGUGUGACUGCACACUCAGGCCUUUUAUCUUUCUCAAAGAGGUAUUAGCAAAAGUUGUACAGCUGCCCUCUUGCCUCUUUCCCUAGAGCAGGCUUUCCUGAAUCUCGUAAUUUUCAUGUCUCUUGCCGUUAGGGUAAGCUAAGAAUUUUCAAGUCAUCAAGUCCUAUUUUCCUUAUAUAUAACAGUUGUUCCCUCAGUGUAUCUCCCCUCACAUUUUACUGUAAUCUGCAAGAAGGAAGCAGUCCUCACCUUCUGCACUUUGCUGAGAAAUCUCUCUAUCUAAACAUACUAAAUUCAUCACUUAAAAUGUCUGCUUUCCACAUAACUGCAGGACACAAUUCAGCUAAGCUUUUUGCCACUAUUUUCCUGUAGUUUCCAACAGCUUGCUCUUCACUCCCCUCAGAGCUCUCACAGGCAGCACCUUUCAUGUCCUAUUUCUCCUCACAGUCUAUUCUCGGCAACUGAGAUGUUUUCUAUGGUGAUUCUCUGCCAUGCUCCUAAAGUGUCUUCCAUCCUCUACUCACUGACCGGUUUCAAAGCCACUUCUGUAAUUUCAGGGGGCUGUCGUGGCAGCACCCCACUUCCAGGUAUCUAGAAAACUCUUUUGCCUACUUGCUGCCAGUUGAUGUGAAUGUGCCAAUAAGAGAUUUAAAAUUCUUCACCUUUCUCAGGGGCUCUGGUGGGUUUAAGGCAGCAGAUUUACCUGUGUGGGGGGUUUUAGUACUGCAAGUGCUACCAGAAAUUCCACUGAGAGAAGUGUUGAUCACACCACUACAAAGAAAGCUUUUUCUGAGUGUCAUAAUAGAGUCAGAAGAUUAUCCCUAAGUCUUCUCCUCAGGAUAGGACACCCUGUUUCUUCCCACUCAUUGCAAACAACUUGGAGAAUACAUAAACAAUAGUUUAAGGAGUCAAUCUCAGUUCAGAAAGUUGACAAGAGACACUGCAUUUUCUCAGGAGCAAAAUCAUCUUCCUAAAGAAAUAUGCUAUUGAAACAAAUGAGCAUUUUGAAACAAAAGGGCAUUGUUCUGCUUUGAACUAACAAAAUGGGGGUGGGGGUGGGGGAUAGCCAAACCCUGUAAAAUUACUUGAAAUUUUAUUCUUGUAGUUUACUUUUAUCAGUCAAUUAUGUGCACAUACAGAACUGCCAUUUUUGUAUACAGCAGUCUUCCAAGACACAGAGAUUUACAUUAGGAGAAUUAAACAUCCAGGAGGGAUGAACAAGACUUACAUGAACUAUAUAGUGCUUUGCUUCAGAGUCAUUUUCCUGGUUUCUUUUUACUUCCGCAGUCAUGGUAACUUUGAAAAUCUGUAAUCCUCUCAGAAAAGAGUGUGUCACUGAGCAGUGAGGCGACCGUGUGUGGAGUCGGAUGUUUUGCAUGACAUAUGUAAUCACAAACUUCGAGUGUCUUCUUACCAAUAAAGAAUGUUUUCACAGAAACUCACUGAAAAUCCUUUUCAAAAUUUUCCUUGAUUUGCAGUUUUAUUUGAGUGGCUUAAUAAAGUAUUUUAAGCAGUGCAUCUUUUUAAUGGUCAGAGAAAAAACUGAGCUGAAGCAAUGUAAUCUCAAUUUCCCAUUACUGUUUCUGUUUUUAUUCCAUCAAAAUAAAGGUGCAAAUUUUUCUCAACUUUUCGCCACAGUGGAUUUCUGAAAACCUUGUCACAACAUAUAUUGUUAAUAAAGUGCAGCCUGUUUUCCCCUU